rnacentral:lncRNA from 1 species
UCUGCUCUUUUUGGGCUGUUUCUGCACCUUCUGGAACCUUCUCUGAACCUUCCGGGACCUUCCAGAAAUUUCUGGGAUUUUUUGGGGAUUUUUUUCUCAGAAAUUCUGCUCUUUCUAUGCAUCUUUCAGGACCUGUCUGGGCGCUUUUUGGGCUGUUUUUCGGCUCUUUCUGCACCUUCCAGGACCUUUUCUGAACCUUCUCUGAACCUUCUGGGACCUUUCCAAAUUUUCUGGGAUUUUUUGGGAUUUUUUUCCCGGAAUUUUGGGGCUUUUUAUGUACCUUCCAGGACCUGUCUCUGCUCUUUUUGGGCUCUUUCUGCACCUUCUGGAACCUUCUCUGAACCUUCUCUGAACCUCCCAGGACCUUCCAGGAUCUUCUGGAACCUUCUCUGAACCUUCCAGAAAUUUCUGGGAUUUUUUGGGAUUUUUUUCCCAGAAUUUUGGGGCUUUUUAUGCACCUUUCAGGACUUGUCUGGGCUCUUUUUGGGCU